AUGUCAAUUUGGUGGCUUUACGAGCAAGGGUAGGAACAAAGGGGGGCAGUUGGAGAAGGGGAAGAAGAGGAGAAGAGGUGAAGUCAUCAAUGUCUACAGCUUCAUCUAUUGCCCCUGUGUGCAGAUGGUGCUUACUCUCCCUUGUGCCUUCCAGACGUGCAUUCCAGCCACCUACCAAACCCCUUUCCUUGGAUGCCAAGAAAAGUCUUCAGACCGUGGACAAUGUACUCUUUGCCUGUAUUACGGAGAAAGGCGUUCCCUAGGAUGAUGACACAAGGAUUUAAUGAGUAGAAGACAACAACUUAAAACCUCUCAUUUGAGCAUGACUUGUCUAGGUUAAAGGUGGGCAUUGAGAUCCCAUUAGCUACUGGCACAAUUGCGAAAAGAAAUGUACAUAUGCACAGACACACUUUAAAGCAAGACGUCAUAAAAAUACAGCGAUGCCUGUUUAACUCAGACCCAAAAAUGGAAUUAAAGCCAAAACUAACCCCUCUACUAAUUAGAGAAGUAAAAAUGUCGUCACCCCAAGUGUCCCAGCACAACGUGAAUCCAAAACAAGCUGCUUUCUUUGGAUUCCACUUAUUUAUUUACUUUAAAAAGAAUAUUUGAAGAAAAUGACACCCUGUAAAAGAACAGUUGGAGAAAACAUGGGACGCCAUACAUUGGAAGAGAAAUGGAGACGGAGUACACAGUUACAACACGAUUUUUUUUUUUUUCUUGUUGAAACACAUGAUAAUGGGCUAAUAAAAAUCUGGUUACCUUUACAUUUCUUCUCCUCCGUUUGGAAGG